CCGAGUGCCGCUCACGCCCGG
rnacentral:siRNA from 1 species